AGUGAACGCUGGCGGUAGGCCUAACACAUGCAAGUCGAACGGCAGCACAGGAGAGCUUGCUCUCUGGGUGGCGAGUGGCGGACGGGUGAGGAAUACAUCGGAAUCUACUCUGUCGUGGGGGAUAACGUAGGGAAACUUACGCUAAUACCGCAUACGACCUACGGGUGAAAGCAGGGGACCUUCGGGCCUUGCGCGAUUGAAUGAGCCGAUGUCGGAUUAGCUAGUUGGCGGGGUAAAGGCCCACCAAGGCGACGAUCCGUAGCUGGUCUGAGGGGAUGAUCAGCCACAAUGGCACUGAGACUCGGUCCAGCCUCCUACGGGAGGCAGCAGUGGGGGAUAUUGGGCAAUGGGCGCAAGCCGGAUUCAGCCAUACCGCGUGGGUGAAGAAGGCCUUCGGGUUGUAAAGCCCUUUUGUUGGGAAAGAGAUCCAGCUGGCUAAUACCCGGUUGGGAUGACGGUACCCAAAGAAUAAGCACCGGCUAACUUCGUGCCAGCCGCCGCCGUAA
rnacentral:rRNA from 1 species